rnacentral:rRNA from 1 species
AUGGCGGCGUCGGGAUCAGGAUCUCAGACGUCCAACCACGGGAAGGAGAAACCCGAUGCAGGGCUUGAGGCAGCCAUGAAGAACAUGCGCUUGCAGGAGGGGGGGCUUGAUGAGGUCUAUGUUGGUGAAGAGGAGAUUGGAAAGCUUGCAAAGGAGGCCCGUUUGCUUGCUGUUGCUAAGGGUCCAUGGAUUUUCCGUGGGCUCAUGGUGGUGAUAGAAGAGUUUGACGGAAAGAGGGCACCUGAAACUAUCAAGUUAGAGAGAUCAACAGUCUGGGCACAAAUCCACAAAAUUCCAGACCUCUACCGCAAGGAGCCUAUUGUUGAUCAGCUGGCAAGGAGAAUCGGAACAGUCCGCAGCGUUGAGUUCAAUCCCAGCCGCUACUUUGAAGGCAACUAUAUCCGAGUUCGUGCAAGUAUAGAGGUUGCCAAGCCUCUAAUCCGAUGGAUUCCGCUGAACCUGGCCGGAGAGAGGAUCUUCCUUGAGGUGAAGUAUGAAAAGAUUGGUUAUUUUUGUGAGGUUUGUGGCCUACUUGGCCAUGAUAUGGAGGAGUGUGGAGACGGAGUCCAUCCACCAGAAAGUAUUCAGUGGGGAAAGUGGAUGAUUACCAAACGGAGAUCAAUCAAGGGUAAUCAGGAGAACGAUCGCCGGUCUGCCUUUCCCCAUGGCAGGUUCCGUGGAAGGGGUCGUGGUGGACGUGGUGCACCAAGGAAGAGGACAUCUAAUGAGGCAGGCCUAGAUGAUGGUGCCGAAGAGGACGACACGGCUCAGAGCCCGUUGAAGCAUGAUGAUCAUACAUGA